ensembl:lncRNA
AUCUGGAGGAACUCUGGAAUUAAUUUAAGGAAAGGAGAAGGGGUGGGGGAACCUAGAAGGAAAUUAGUAGCCAAAUAAUCAGACUUCCUGACUUUAUUAUUACCUUUGUGGCCAAGGCAAGUCAUUUUCAGCAUUAAUUACAAGCAGAGAGGGAAUGGGCCAGCUAUCUUGUCUCAAACUCUGCGAUGUUUUGUUCUGUUUUUUUUUUCUUUUUUUCCUGCACUGGUGCUGGGGUGGGGAUGUGAACAGAGCCAAGAAAGAACAGACAAAACAGGUUUAUCUGCAACAAAGACAGAAAGAGACCAAGAGGCAGCAGCCCAGUUCUGAAACACCCCUCCGAGAAGCCCAGCUCGGACGUGCAAAGCAGACAGUGAUGGCUUUUCCACCCUUUUCUCUCUGGUGGUUUCUCAUCUCACAGUAGAAUUUCGUUUCCCCUAGAAACUUGGCACAGGAGGUGUCAGCCCGGGAACAUAUUUGUUUGUGUAAAUUAAAAGGAGAAUAUGUUUUGACCAUAUUUAAGUCCUAGCUGUGCUAAAGAAAUAAAUACUGAGUUGCAC